rnacentral:rRNA from 1 species
UACGGGGGGAGCAAGCGUUGUUCGGAUUUACUGGGCGUAAAGGGCGCGUAGGCGGUCUUGUCAGUCCCUUGUGAAAUCCCCCGGCUCAACUGGGGAACUGCAAGGGAAACAGCAGGGCUUGAGUUCGGGAGAGGGAAGCGGAAUUCCGGGUGUAGCGGUGAAAUGCGUAGAUAUCCGGAGGAACACCGGUGGCGAAGGCGGCUUCCUGGACCGAUACUGACGCUGAGGCGCGAAAGCUAGGGGAGCAAACGGG